rnacentral:lncRNA from 1 species
CCACCACGGCGUGUUCUGGCACUGCAUUGGGUACGGGACAGGGUACGGGUAAGGCACGGCCUUGUAUAUUGGUUUCGGCGGAUCAGGCUUCUUCUCAGGUUCGCACUUGCAGCAGCAUUUGCAUGGUUUGGGAACAGGUUUCUUCUCAGGCUCGCACUUGCAGCUGCAUUUGCAUGGUUUGGGUUCAGGUUUCUUCUCGGGCUCGCAUUUGCAGCUGCAUUUGCAUGGUUUGGGUUCAGGCUUCUUCUCAGGUUCGCAUUUGCAGCAGCAUUUGCAUGGUCUGGGAUCAGGUUUCUUCUCAGGUUCGGCUGGUUUUUUUGGCGGCCAUUCGGGGACGAUGAUGAUCUCCGUGACGACCUUGCAGGCCUUGGAGCAGAUCUUCUUGCGGAGCUUCUCGGCGUCGAACUUGCCGCGGACGAUCACCUUGUUGUUCUUGUCCUCGUACUCGAUCUUCUCGAUGCAGUAAUCCUCUGCGUUACACGUACGCAUAAGAAAAAUUUCCUAAUUUGUUUACGCGAAUAAUGUAUGAGCACCAUGCAAAACUUGAAUACGUAGUUAAUUUCCCGGCUUUGCUUCAAGAUACCAUUCCCAAUUUAUUUAUUUUACCUUUGAGGCACUCCAAGACUUUCUCGAUCUUCUUCUUGCAGCGGCAGCAAUCCAAGUCUACGGUGAUCACCAGUAUACUCAUCUGCAAAAAUUAAGAAGCAUGCAUGAAGAUGAACAAACCUGACCGGUCCUACCCAAGAAGUUUCUGAAACUUGAAGCUGCCCAGUGACCAAGUAAUCAGAUUUAAAUCAAAGAAAAUACUAAGCGAACAAGGAUUAGUGCAACUAGUCGAGCAACAAUUAGAGCAGAAGAAAUUAACGAACCAGGAGGAUUCGACGAUUAAGCUCACCUGU